AAAAAGUUGAGUUUGGUGAUGGCUCUGAUUGAAUGCUGUCCAAGUGCUUGACACAUGCUAAUCGUACGUUUUAAUUAUGGUAUUAUGCUUUAAUUAAAAAGUGGUGUACAGGUGAGUAUAACGAUAUUCUUCGCCGGCCUUAAAGCGAAGGUAAAUCCUUCAUAAUAAAUAAAGGAAUAGUGGUUUUUAGUAAUAAAACUGUGGCGUACUGAUUGCCAUAUAAUUCCGCUUUAAGAGGAUAAUAAAUAUCUUCGAGAUAGGUAGUAGUUAAGGUGAUGACUUAACUAGCCUAAAACUCUCA
rnacentral:rRNA from 1 species